rnacentral:rRNA from 1 species
UACAGAGGUGGCAAGCGUUGUUCGGAAUUACUGGGCGUAAAGGGCGAGUAGGUGGCCAUCUAAGUCAGACGUGAAAUCCCCCGGCUUAACCUGGGAACUGCGUCUGAUACUGGACGGCUAGAGUUUGGGAGAGGGAUGCAGAAUUCCAGGUGUAGCGGUGAAAUGCGCAGAUAUCAGGAGGAACACCGGUGGCGAAGGCGGGUCUCUGGGCAACAACUGACGCUGAGGAGCGAAAGCGUGGGGAGCGAACAGG